rnacentral:rRNA from 1 species
GUACACUCCUGCGGGAGGCAGCAGUGGGGAAUAUUGGACAAUGGGCGCAAGCCUGAUCCAGCCAUGCCGCGUGAGUGAUGAAGGCCCUAGGGUUGUAAAGCUCUUUCACCGGUGAAGAUAAUGACGGUAACCGGAGAAGAAGCCCCGGCUAACUUCGUGCCAGCAGCCGCGGUAAUACGAAGGGGGCUAGCGUUGUUCGGAUUUACUGGGCGUAAAGCGCACGUAGGCGGACUAUUAAGUCAGGGGUGAAAUCCCGGGGCUCAACCCCGGAACUGCCUUUGAUACUGGUAGUCUUGAGUUCGAGAGAGGUGAGUGGAAUUCCGAGUGUAGAGGUGAAAUUCGUAGAUAUUCGGAGGAACACCAGUGGCGAAGGCGGCUCACUGGCUCGAUACUGACGCUGAGGUGCGAAAGCGUGGGGAGCAAACAGGAUUAGAAACCUGUAGUCCCAUG